rnacentral:rRNA from 1 species
GACGAACGCUGGCGGCGUGCUUAACACAUGCAAGUCGAACGGAAAGGCCCUGCUUGCAGGGUGCUCGAGUGGCGAACGGGUGAGUAACACGUGGGUGAUCUGCCCCUUACUUUGGGAUAAGCCUGGGAAACUGGGUCUAAUACUGGAUAGGACCAUGCUGUAGGUGGUGUGGUGGAAAGAUUAUUUUCGGUAAGGGAUGAGCUCGCGGCCUAUCAGCUUGUUGGUGGGGUAAUGGCCUACCAAGGCGUCGACGGGUAGCCGGCCUGAGAGGGUGGACGGCCACAUUGGGACUGAGAUACGGCCCAGACUCCUACGGGAGGCAGCAGUGGGGAAUAUUGCACAAUGGGCGCAAGCCUGAUGCAGCGACGCCGCGUGGGGGAUGACGGCCUUCGGGUUGUAAACUCCUUUCAGCCAUGACGAAGCCCUUGUGGUGACGGUAGUGGUAGAAGAAGCACCGGCUAACUACGUG